rnacentral:lncRNA from 1 species
CCUCCUUAAGCCCCUACGCAGCUGAAAGCUGGAAGCUGAAACGUUUUCAACUUGAGCAGACAGGUUGAAGAUGCUGCCAAACCAUGUGGAAAUACAUUGGUAUAGACUGGAACUUUGUGUCAAGGCUCAAUUGGAAUAAUCUGGAGAAGCUUUUCUACAAUGUCUACACUCCAGGGCCCACACCUGCCAAUGAAAUCUGUACCUUAAACCUGAAGAGGACCAGGUAUCAAUAUUCUUUGAAAAGCAGCCCAGAUGAUGCAGCUAGGUAGGUGUGGGAUUAACAGCACAGCCGGGAAGUUUCAAAUUGGAAGCACUUCAGAAACUGUCAUAUGCGAGAAAGAUGGUAUCUCAUUCAGACCGACCACCAUUUCCCAAAGAUUUCUCCCAGAUCACUACUUCCUCAAGAUGCCCAGAGAACAUAAUUCUGUGACCAAAUGCGUAUGAGAAAUGCUGCCAACUGCUGACUCCUAUCUUUGAGACUUAUCUACGUAGUGCUUUUAGUGCUUUUUUGUUAUGACCUUGGCUCACUGCAGCUUCACCCUCCUGGGCUCAAGCGAUCCUUCCACCUCAGCCCUUCAAGUAUCUGGGACUACAGACACCUGCCACCAUGUCUAGCUAAUUUUUGUAUUGUUUGUAGAGAUGGAGUUUCACCAUGUUGCCCAGGCUGGUCCUGGUCUGAAACUCCUGAACUCGAGUGAUUCUCCAGCCUCAGCCUCCCAAAGUGCUGAGAUGACAGGUGUGAGCCACUGUGUCUGGUCUGUAGUGCAUCUUAAUGUCUCUGAGAAAACCUGUGACCAAGAAAACUAUUACCUCGGCUUAAUCCAGUAAUUUUCCAGGAAAGCUGCUUUUUUAUUUCAUAGCACCUAACACCCUGUGGACCUCCAGAAAUGGUGAUUCACGAUGAGGAGGAAGAGUACUGAGCCCUGUCAAGGGCAGCAUUGGGUGAGGAGCCUCUCAAUUACAUGUUAGGAAGUGAAGACACCCAGACCUCGGAUUCCAAUUUUGAUGCUUCAGUUUUAAAAUGGUGGGGGGUGAGGGGCUGAUGGAGAAGAGUCUUUAUGGACACAAAUGGACCAGGGUGCUUUGACCUUUUGUUCUGUGGUCUCCUCACUUAUUAGGUCACAUAACCUUCAGUGGGCUACAUAAACCUCUUUUCUCAUCUUUAGCAGAACAAAAAUCUGUGGUCUGGGCUUAGGGGCCAGUUGGACUGGGCUUUGGUCAUUGAUUCGCGCUGGUCUUUGAAAUGUGAGUGGAAGGGACAGACAGGUGUUGAGUCCAAGCAGAAGCCUUCGAUGUUCUUGUGUGGCUUGGCUCUGCCUCUGUGCUUCUCCCUCCUCCUUGAGAACAAUAUGCCCCACAUGGGAGCUGCUCCUUUAGCCAGGCCUCCAGGACCAGAGGACAAAUGGGGCUGAGCACAACCAAGCCCAGCUGAGCCAGGUCAGGGUUCAAUGUAGCCUGAACAUGAAAUAAAUGUUUAUAAUUUUAAACCAGGAAAAUUUUGGUAUAGUUUAUUAUAACAAACUGCAAUCUAUAAACCUGAUUUGGGUCUGAUUUAAAGAAACCAAACAACCUCUAAAAAUUAGGAGGUAAACAGGAAAACUUGUACACUGACGUUAAGAAAUUGAUGUCAUUUUUUUUUACAAGAUGUUAUAGGACUGUUUCACUUGUGUUUAGGUAAAGAAUCCUUAUCUUCAGUGAUCCACGCUGAAAUACUUAUGCAUGAAACGGUAUAAUGGAAGGACAGGAAAGUGGGCAGAGUCAUAAAUGAAGUAAGAAUGUCCAGGUGUUGAUAAUUAUUGAAGCUGGGUAACGGAUAAUUGGGGGUUUACCAUAUUAUUCAACUUUUGUUUAUGUUCAAAAUUUUCUCUGAUUAAAAAGCUAGAAAAUCAACAUUCACACAAACUCUUCUCCAUAGGUUGAAAAUAGGUGGAGUAUCUUGUUAGGAUUAUUAUAAUCUUUUAAUUUUAUAGCACUGCCAAUGAGCCAUCCCUGCCAUAAAAGAGUCAGCCAGAGAUAACUGGUGACUUCCACCACGUAAUUAUUAUCACCGUUUAUUUCAGUGGAAACUGCUGCCUGUUUGGAUUUGGAGAACACUAAGAAAGAGAAAUGAAGAUCUGGAGAAUUCAAAGGAUAAUUAUCCCUUUUGAAUAUUGACACACUUACAUGUUUUUCCAGACGUAGAUUUUGUGUAGGCGAAAGCUAUUUGAUUAUAAAAGAUCCGGUUUCU